rnacentral:rRNA from 1 species
AAUCAACGCUGGCGGCGUGCCUCAGACAUGCAAGUCGAACGCGAAAGUCCCCUUCGGGGGACAAGUAGAGUGGCGCACGGGUGAGUAACACGUAGGUAAUCUACCUUCGGAUGGGGAAUAACAAUCGGAAACGGUUGCUAAUACCGCAUAAUGCAGCGGCACCUAAUGGUGACAGUUGUUAAAGCGGGGGAUCGAAAGACCUCGCGUCUGAAGAGGAGCCUGCGGCGGAUUAGCAGUUGGUAAGGUAAUGGCUUACCAAGGCGACGAUCCGUAACCGGCCUGAGAGGGCGGUCGGUCACACUGACACUGACAUACGGGUCAGACUCCUACGGGAGGCAGCAGUCGGGAAUUUGGGCAAUGGGCGAAAGCCUGACCCAGCAACGCCGCGUGAAGGAUGAAAUCCCUCGGGAUGUAAACUUCGCAAGAACGGGAAGAAUAAGUAGGGGACAAUACCCCCUAUGAUGACGGUACCGUUUGUAAGCUCCGGCUAACUCCGUGCCAGCCGCCGCAGUAAGACCUAAGACU